rnacentral:rRNA from 1 species
GACGAACGCUGGCGGCGUGCUUAACACAUGCAAGUCGAACGGUGACGAGGAGCUUGCUCCUCCGAUCAGUGGCGAACGGGUGAGUAACACGUGAGUAACCUGCCCAGACUCUGGAAUAACAGUUGGAAACAGCUAGCUAAUACCGGAUACGAGACGGAGAGGCAUCUCUACCGUCUGGAAAGUUUUUCGGUCUGGGAUGGACUCGCGGCCUAUCAGCUUGUUGGUGAGGUAAUGGCUCACCAAGGCGACGACGGGUAGCCGGCCUGAGAGGCGACCGGCCACACUGGGACUGAGACACGGCCCAGACUCCUACGGGAGGCAGCAGUGGGGAAUAUUGGCAC